AUUUCUUUUCUUCCAGAACUAUGUGGUAAGCCAGAAGCCACAUACCAUGGUGUGCUGGUAAAUCCACCCUGAGGGGGAAAAAACCCUGAUUUGAAGUGCUUGCUGAUGCCUUUAAGCUACCAAGCUAACAUCACACUCCACACUGAGCAGGAGUUGGGAAGAGGUAUGAACAGUCGUCUCUCCAGAACGUUUCUGGAUUUUGAGCUGGCUGCAGUAAUUGGAAUUGAACUUGGAUUUUCUCUCUUGGGUAGUAGGCAAUUCUCCUCUGAUGUAACGUAUUGAGAUCAUUGUGCCACACCUCAGGAUGGAUACUUGGACAACUGGAGUCAUUGGACUCCAUACUUGGAGUCAACCGGAGACAACAGUUGAGGAAAACCAUUCUAUUUUCAAGAUCACAAAGUCCAUAUUUUUCAUCUUGACCAUGGGUGUUUCAAGAAAAAUACCUCCCUUCUCUCAUUACCAGUGUUCAAGUGCAAUAAAGUAAGACCG